rnacentral:lncRNA from 1 species
GGCUAUGAACUUGGGAUGUCCUUAGUCUUUAAUCCUAUGGGCUUCUGGAUCACCUGCACUAUGAUAUUUUCAGGUUAUAUGGCUUAGUAUUUAUGGUGCUUGAAAGUGAACAGUCAGCAGGUUUUAGGCCCCUCACUUUACCCAGAGAUAAUUUUAGCCAAGGCCACAUCCAACAGCUUUCUUGAAGCAUCUCUAUUAUUGCUUUAUUUUCAGCUCAAUUAUUCUGUAUUUUACACUGCAUUUCUAAAGCGUGGGUCCAGGCUUCCUAAUAGGCCUGAGGGUGAUAUCUCAGACUUCAUUUAGAGAGGUCAUAUUGAAUCUGUUUUCAUGACCCAGGCCAGGAAAAGAGAGAGGUUUAACCACAGCCUUGACAUCAAGAAGAAUUUUUUCAGGAGGUCCUUGAGCUAAUAUGCUUGCAUGGCAUAGCAUGUUGUGCCAUCCUAGCAUUAAAUCCUGCUGUUCCACAUUAGUAUUAUAUAAAAAUGGAUCUUAGAAUAGCAUCCUGUUUCAUAGAUCAUUUGAGCCUUUCCAGAUAAUCUAAUGAUAGUAGUGAUAAAGUAAUACACAGAUACACACAUACAUGCAUACAUACUCACAGACAUUUAACUUUAUAUACACAGUCUUUUUUUUUUAAGCUAGAGUUAAUUGACUGGCAGAAUCUUUUGUGUGUGUGUGUGGGUGUACGGUUUUUUUUUUCAGACAAGUUAGCAGUGGAAUAUAAAUGAGACUCGUUGAAAUGGAAACUUUUCUCCGUGCAUAAUUGGAGUAAACUAAACGUUUCAGUUGUUUGGAAAGGCCUGGGACACCAGCAGUAUCACACUCAGCAGGGAUUUAAGGCUGAGAUUAGAUUCUUUUCCCGACUGCCAUGCAAUCCUAUCCCUCCCCACAGUAAAUCCUCCAUUUUUGCAAAUUUCCAAGAACUUUCUGAGCACAGACACCUGAAGGGUGCAAAAGGAGUCACAAGUUAAGUAAUGAAAUCGUCUUUCUGAGUGAAAUAUCUAAGAACUGUAUUAAGACUAUUUUCUAUAACCUAACAGGGGUUGGGAACCUGUGGCCUCAAGGCCAUAUAUGGCCCUCUAGGUCCUCAAGUGUGGCCCUUUGACUGAAUCCAAACUUCACAGAACAAAUCCCUUUAAUAAAAGGAUUUGUUCUGUAGAACUUGGACUUGGU